rnacentral:rRNA from 1 species
CAGUCGCCGCGGGAAUACGUAGGGUGCAAGCGUUAAUCGGAAUUACUGGGCGUAAAGCGUGCGCAGGCGGUUAUAUAAGACAGAUGUGAAAUCCCCGGGCUCAACCUGGGAACUGCAUUUGUGACUGUAUAGCUAGAGUACGGCAGAGGGGGAUGGAAUUCCGCGUGUAGCAGUGAAAUGCGUAGAUAUGCGGAGGAACACCGAUGGCGAAGGCAAUCCCCUGGGCCUGUACUGACGCUCAUGCACGAAAGCGUGGGGAGCAAACAGGAUUAGAUACCCCCGUGGUCCCUGUCUCUUAUAC